CGGCCCUCGGCUGGGUUUCUUAAAGGAGCACCGGAGCUUGCGAGAUGGGGUACCGAGUCGGAGCCGGGUGAAGGAGGUGGCCGGUGGCUGGGGCAAAGGAGGGGAACAAUGUAGUUCAGGGCUGUCCUGGGCCAGCGAGGUCGAGAAGGUGGCAGGGCUCGGCUCGGUGCGCGCACCGCCGCACUGCAGCCGAGCCCCAGCCGGCCCCACUCGGGGUGGGCGGGGGAGCGUUGCUCGGGGAGGAGAGCUGCUUCCCGAGGCGGGGCGGCGCAGUAUCCAUAACGCCGGGCGGCCGCCCGCCUCUGCCGCCCCGAGCUCUCCCGACCCCGCCGAUGCUAAUAAUGCCUGACAAGAAGUCGGGGAACGUGGGGAGGAAGGCCCAGAGACCGCAGCCCGGGGCGUCUGGGUUGUUCGUGGCCUUUGUUGUCACUUAGUGGGAGAUGCUGCUGAGUGCCCGGAGGAACUGGAGGAGGAGCUGGAGGAGGAGGAGGAGGAGGAGGAAACACGGCGGUGAAGGGGCGGGGCCGCGGGGAGGGAGAGCCUUUUGUUCCGCCGGCCCCGCGGGGGACUCCAAGGAAGGGGUGGCGGACCCUGCUCUGCUCCGAGCUCUAGUCCCACCUUCCCUGGGCCCCUCCAGCCCUCCUGGAGUUUGCAGAGAGCCGGAUGCAUCCAGUCCGGACCAGCCCGUCUCCUCUCCUCGUUAGCCGAGGGACGGGAGUCCUUUCACAUCCUACCCCCCAAAGGGCUGUAGGAAAGAAAAGGCGUUUUAAAAGUAUAUCUAAUAAGACCCUUCCCUUCUAGCCCAGCUAGCUUCAUCUUAGAUAUGGGGAAGCUAAAGAAAGGCAAUAAACAUUUAUUAAGCAA